GUGUCUGUAUGUGUGUGUAUUUUUUUCUCUCUUUAGAUUACAAAAAUAUAUAUAAUAGCUUUGGUAUAUAGGAUUUAUUCUUAUGAAAUGUUUGUUAUCAUUGUUAUGUUCAUGCUAUCGAAUGAACAGAAUCAUAUGAUCAUAAUUAUUUUUAUUUAUUUUAUUUUUUUUUUCAAGGAGGAAUUACCUUUAUUUGUAACAUAGAAUUACUGCUUGAUAUUUUUUUCAAGAAUUUUGUAUAUACUCACAUCUAGGUAUAAGUGUUUCAUUAUAAAUAUUUUUUUUUUUUUUUUUUUCUUGAAACAUACGCAGAAAACAUUAGUAUGAUUAUAAUUAUAUUAUAGUCAUCUUUGUUAUCAAUAUAAUGAUUUUGUCCACUUUUCCAAUUAUAUGUAUGAGUGGAUCACCUCGUUAAUAGCAACGAUAAAUCAAUAAACAAUAAAUCAAUAAAUGCUGCUAAUCAGUCUCAUCUAGGUACACUGCCGUCCCAUCUUUUCACUGGCCUCCUUCUACUCUUCCCUUUUCAAUGGCGCGGCAGAAAGUACAAACAAGACCCUCGAUCCGUAUCUUCCACGUGUCAACGUGCGUGCUAUCUCCCUCCCCUGCUUUAAACAGCCUCUUGGGGAUGUCACUAAAGUGAAACCACUUUCUACUGAGCGUUAAGCGUGGGUCCCUUGGAGAUUCGGGUACCAGUUUUUCUAUAAAUCCCAGCCUUGCUCUACCAAAUCUGCCUGCGCCGUGCGCCUAUGAUGAUACACCCUUGUCUUCUGAGUUUUUUUUUUUUUUUUUCGUCAUAAAUACGUUAAUUCUCGCUACUGUGAAGCACACGAGGUGGCGUGGCUGGUCCAGGAGAAGCUUCCAUUGAUGGUGGUGACGGAGGAAGUGACCUCGCUCACCUGUGGCCUGCCUCCACCUGACGUGUUUAGCCGUGACUGGUCAUGUGUGACCUCAAUAACGUCGGAAAGCAGCGUGUUAAGUGUUGUGAUACACAUACCAAAAUAACUUAUCAUUCUCAUCAAAGUGAAACAUUCGCAACAUUUUUCUUUAUUAAGAAAAGGGGUGCAUUGACAUUCAUCUUGAAAUAAUAAUUAGCUAACAUAUCUGACAGAUCGAAAGAUGAGUUAGGCCUCCACAGGGACCACGCCUAGACGUUGGGCUUUUUUUUUUUUUUUCUUCUGCUUUCAAGGGUGUACAAGUAUGUCAUGACCAAAACGGUAGUUUGAUCACUCAUGGAAACCUGGCUGAUGAGUCCUUACAAGAUGGCUAAAUAAUUGUAAUGAAAUACAAGCUAAGAUAAAUGAUAAGAUGGAUGUGGGACGUAUUGCAGCGUAUUUUUCAGUCUGGGGAGCCAUGCGGCUAGACACGUGACAUGCAUAAAUUCAUACUAACAGAGGCAUGACUGCACACAUCCACGUUGUCAAUUACUUGUCGACACUCGGCUGUCUGUGGUGUGCCUGGGAAGUACACUUUAAACCUGCUGUGUACCGCUGUUUCAACAAGCUUGAGGAGGUGGUCAAAAAAAAGGUCGAUAUAUUUGAGGUCGCGUAAUUUUUUGGGGGCUCUCAUUUUCACUUUUGUUUAUUAUUAUUAUUAUUAUUAUUAUUAUUAUUAUUAUUAUUAUUAUUAUUAUUAUUAUUAUUAUUAUCAUUAUCAUUACUAUUAUUAUUAUUAUUAAUUUUUUUUUAUUAUUAUAGUAUCUUUUUUACAAUGAAAAUUUUGCACUUUAUCACGCUAAAACUCCUACACAAGUUAAAAGGAAAUUGCCAUGUUAUUAUCAUAUUCUUGUGACUGUGCGCAAUUUUAUCAUGUUUUCCCCUUUUUGUCCCAUCAGAAUGAAAAGUUAAUCUAUUGGUACUGAAUUAUAAAAACGUGGAGUACUUUUUUGUAGCAGACUGGAAAAAAAAAAGUUCUCUCCUAAAAGAUCAUUUUCUUACAUUUGCAUCAUCUAUUAUGAAGUACAUUUACUACUCAGCAAUAAAUAUGACCUGAUUUUUUUAAGCUAUAGGGUGCCCCCCCCCACCAAAAAAAAAAUUAUAAUAAUAAUAAAUAAAUAAAUAAAUUUACAUUAUGGAUUUUACACACGUAUUUUACCAUGCAUUUUACUGUGCAACUGCGCAUGGAAAGCAUUUUUGAACACCACAUUUAACAUUUGUAUUUUUGUUGUUUUAACAAUGUUAACAACUCUUUUCUGUUUCCAACAGUUAAGUAAACUACCAUUUUUAUUCAUUUAUUUUAUUUUUUUUAUUUGGUAUAUCAAUCCAUUAAUUAAUAUCACCAUCCAUUGUUUCCCUUAAUCUCCUCUCAAACAGCUCCCAUGAAUUCCUAGAGCUUUACUUUAAUUUCAUGCCCUUCAAUGUCAACAUUAACUUCUUUAUCACUUAUAUUCUAUUUUUGCUAAUGGGUUUACUUUCCCUUCCAUUCAACCCUCUCUCUCCACUUCAACACACUACUGACUCACUCAGAGUCAGUGCUAUAGGCUAUUCUCCUUGUCAAAAUACUUCCUUUACUGUUGUUCACAUUUAUCUUCCUCUUUCUCAUUCAACAAACAACGUUUGUCCCAUAUUUUGGAAUACAGCACUCUCCUGGAGAUAAUUUUCAAAGGUCACAGAAAUCAUAUUUAGGUUGUUAUGGAUGUUUUUCCCCCAUUAAUGGUGCAAAAUCCCUAUCAGGCCCCUUCAAACAGGCAUGUUGGUCAUGCAGCAAAUGCAAAUGCUGAUGCAUGCAAUUGAAAUGCAUGACUGAGUUGCAUCAGCGAGUCACCUCUGUGACAAGGCUGGCUGGUGAGAAGCACUGCUGCAGGGUCACUCAGCCUGGCUCAGUUGCAUCACAGACUCUGAUCACUGGUGGCUUUUCAACUUCAACAAUGAAUCGCUCAACAUCCUGUGUGAAACGGCUCCAUGAGAUCUACCACCGUGAUCGAUCACCAGAACAGACGACUUACACUGUCAGCUGCGCAUGUCAAACACUCAUGUGAAAGACCACUGAUGAAAACAGUAGAAAGCUGUGGGAAGCCAUUUCCCCGUGACUUAGCAGCACCAUCGAAUUGCUCGUGUCAAAGGGCCCUUAGCCUAUCACUAGAAUCAUGCAAACAUUCUUAAAAACCAAAUAACAUCCACUUGUACUUGCUAAAAGACAAGAUAGUGAAAAGUUUGAGAUCACAAGGAGGUUGCAUAACAAAAAAAAUCACUAAAGUUUCUUAUGAACAUCAGUAUGUACAUUUUAUUUGAUCCAUAACCAAGACUGCUGCAAGUCCUCCCUGGAAAUACAACUGCAUAACUCAUUACAAAUAUACAUAGUUCAAGACGUCUUAAAAACUGAACGACUCAAGCACUGCCUCAACGUGACUCCUGCACCAGUUGGUUAGGUGUUAUCUUUUACUCCUGUACCACCACAUCUGCAGGCGGGGCAAACUGGCCGUCGGAAAUCACCACCGGGAACUGAAGUGAACUGGCAGGGCACUCAAGGCUAACACAAGUCUAAUGUGUCGAUUUAAACCAAGGUCUGUGUGUGUGUUUUGGUUAGCCUUAUUUGUCCUGUCAAUACACUUCACUUAUUUCCUUCCUUUUUUAAACCUUCGAAACAUGUCACUUUCCAUUAAGCAGAAGGAUUUAACCAGCAUCUUUCUUUCUUUACUACACAUUGUAUAUAUUUAAUUUGAUAGUAUUGUGUAGCAUGCAUCCAACUCCACAGUACAAAUUGAGUAUACAAAGUUUUUCUUUAUCGCCAUAUUUAAUUUGUCUUUAUUAGUGCACAAAAAUGUUACACUUUUUUCUUUAUUGCAUUUCAUGUGUCUAUUAGUACUCAAAAAUGUUGACUUUACCAUAAUAUUUCACAUGUCUUAUCAGUGCACAAAAAAGUUGGAUAUUUCUAUAUUAUCAUAAUACCUAAAAUGUCUUUAUUACCGCAUAAAAAUGACAAAAAGACAAAGUAAAGAAAACACAGAAUGCUGAACUUGCCAUCACAUUCAAUAAAAACAAAUAAAAAGAUGUAAAUGUGAUGACAUUAACACCAAAACACAAGAUAGAGACUUCACCACCUCGUGAGCGUCCACCACCACACACUGCACCCAACGACAACACACUGAAUUCUAUGGACACUGCAUGCACCAACACCCACAGCCACAACCACCAACCCUUUGCCUCUCACCCAUGUAAAGUCUGCCUGUGUGUUUGUGUGUUAAUGCAGAAGGAAACAGGAUGGAUACCCCUAGAAGAAUUGGCAGGAUUUUGGGACGAGAUGUGAAGGGAAAUGAAAAGACAAACAUGAGAACAAGGAAGAGAAAAAGGAAGAGAACAAAUUAGAGUACUAUUUACAGAACUUAGAGAAGAAAUACAAAGAAAAGAACAAAUUAGGAGCACUAGAAAACUUGGAGACACUUAGAAAACCAGAAUAAGAGAACAAGAAAGCAAAGAAGAACACAAGAGCAAGAAUAAAGUGAAUGGAUACCCCAAGGGGACACUCACAUCAUGGUCACCUUUGUCGUUUUCUGUCAUUCUUCACUUCCUUCAACCUCUCGCCCACCCAAUACACUUUUUCUUCCUUUGAGUUCCUUUCUUUCAUCUCCCUCAUCUACUGCUUCUUCAUUCUCUCUUAUCACAUCUUCAUCUGAUUUCUUUAUUUCUUCUUUUCCUUCUACCUAUCUUCUGUCAUUCUCUAUCAUGUCGUUAUUGGAUUCUUCUAUUUCUUCUGUCUAUUUUCAUUCAUUCUCUCUCUAUCUAUCUAUUUCAUCAUUCUCUCUCUAUCACAUCCUUAUCUGAUUUCUUUAUUUCUAAUUUUCCUCCUAUCUAUCUUCUGUCAUUCUCUCUAUCAUGUCUUUAUUGGAUUCUUCUAUUUCCUCUUUUCCUUCUAUCUAUCUUCUUUUACUCUCUUUUCUGGUUCUGACUUCUGAGUAUCACAUCUCUUUUUUCUUCUUUCUUCUCUAGUUCUUUUCUUAUUUUCUCUUCUUUCUCCUCUAUUCUCCUCUUUCUCCUCUUCAUCCUUUUCUGAGUGUACCACAUCUUGUUCCUCCUCCUCCUCUAGUUCUGCCUUUCUUUUCUCUUCCUCUUCUACUAUUUCAUUCCCUUCCUCCAUUCUCUCUUCUGAAUCUUCUAGUUCUCUUCCUAAUUCACCUCCUUUUAAUCCCACACCUAUUUACUCAAUUUCUCCCUCAUCUUCUUCAUUAUUCAGUUCAUCUAUUACAUCAAACUCCUCUUCCUCCUCUUCUACUUAGGAUCAUCUGGUUUAAAAAGACAAGACUUCAGAUAUUUCAAAGGAUACAAGGAAGGGAUGGAGGAGAGUGACUGUAAGGGUUGGGACUGCUGGUGGGAGUCCUGUAACAUAAAGGUGCCUCUCAAGUCUUCCUAUGAUGGCUACCUUAACUGUUCCAACAUCACUGGCAGGCGAUGACGUACAGGAGUCCUUAGUUUAUAAUGGUGCUUAUCCCUGUAUAUAUAUUUCUUGAUUUUUUGGUUACUUAUUCUAUUGUUCUCUUAUUUACUGUUCGUUCUCCAUGUGUUCUUUUCACAGAUAUAGUAGUUAUGAUUUUUGUUCAUGAUUGUGACUUUACAGUACUUUAAGAACAUAGUAACAUCAGAAAAUAAGGGAUGCUGCAAGAAGCCAUCAGGCCUACCCAUGGCAGUCCCUUUAGCAUUAGCAUUGGUGAGUGACACAGGUACAAAACUCCGUCAUAAGUCAAGGACCCCCAGUAAAGGCUGCAACAUGGGUGAGGUGCAUCGUGUGGCCAGAAUGGGGAAAAGGCAGACAUGUGUUAGGCUCUGGCAGGUGUGUGAUGGUGUGGCACAGUGUGAUGGUGCAGACUAGGCCUUCUGUUGGUGGCUAAACACACACCUGGUGAUGUGCAGGGUUGCGUCAUUUUCCAGAGUGAUGGUUUACCUGCAGGUCCUAAUACUGUCAGUGGAAUCCAGUCUUGUACUCUUGAAAUGCUUUGGACACUCAUAACGACUACUUUCAAAAGCCACAGAGAUGAUUAGCCAGAUUCUCAAGGGUGUUUCUUAUUGAUAAUAUAAAAACCUUGUCCCUUCACUGAUAUUUGGCAUGUCUUUCUUUGAUCAUUGACCACACUGAGACACCUUUUCUUAUUCCACACUGCACUGGCUAGAAAUUGCAACAUCUAUUUUUUUAUGCCUUUCUUUCUUGUAGAUGCUUAUGAUAAACUCCAUGCAUUGCUUCCAGUGCUGUAAAUUGUUGCAUAUCACUAGAACAGGAAUCAUAAAAACUCUUGUUAAAAAUCUGAUUACCCACCACUGCAGCUUAUCAAAAGUACUCAAGAAGAGGUAGCGGCAUUUGAGAAUACAUUAAGGGUGAGUAUUGUCCUCUAUUCUCUUUGGCACAUCCAUAACAAAAAUGGGAACACUGAGUCUGACACCAUCAUCACCACCACACAGUU